GCGGAUGUGGCUCAAUGGUAGAGCAUCGGCUUCCCAAGCCGAGGGCUGCGAGUUCGAAUCUCGUCAUCCGCUCCA
rnacentral:tRNA from 1 species